rnacentral:lncRNA from 1 species
CGACACUUCUUUACUAUUUCGGAUAGUGUCUGGAACGCACGAACAAAACGCCGCUAUUCGGAUAUAACGAUGGAUUAUUUUGGACCAAACCAACAUUUGUUAUUGAAGUAGACGUCCUGGGUGUGCAUUCUGACGAAGACAACAAAAGUAAGGGUGAUCAGGCCUCACCAGGAAGUCAGAACAGAGGUCAGUCUACCCUAUUAACUUCGUGUGGAAUCUGAAGUGCUGUAAGGAGGAACUCUCUAACUACAGAUUCAGGAACUUCUCCUUCUUUCUCUUGGAUACCUGUUAUGGACAGUUGCAGUCAGGUGGCAGGAGAGGUGGAGUUCAUGACACUCCAUCCUGGAUAUGACAGAGUUUGCCACAAGUCAUGGGUACAGCAGGCAGAGGACUCCAUUUCAAAAGCAUCUCUUCUGCCCAUCUGUAGAAAAACAAGAAAAAGUUGAUGAGUGACACUUUAAAAAGGGUAAUAUUACUAAGCACUUGUGAUGUUCUGUCUUAUUAUACUGAACAAAAUAUAAAACGCACCAUGUAAAGUGUUGAUUCCAUGUU